GACGAACGCUGGCGGCGUGCCCAAUACAUGCAAGUCGAACGAGUGGCGGACGGGUGAGUGAUGUCUGGGAAACUGCCCGAUGGAGGGGGAUGACUCGUGGAAUCGGUAGCUAAUACGUCAUACCAACCGAUGUGGCCAUAUGGGAUUAGUUAGUAGGUGGGGUACCGGCUCACCUAGGCGACGAUCCCUAGCUGGGCUGAGAGGAUGACCAGCCACACUGGAACUGAGACACGGCCCAGACUCCUACGGGAGGCAGCAGUGGGGAAUAUUGCACAAUGGGCGCAAGCCUGAUGCAGCCAUGCCGCGUGUAUGAAGAAGGCCUUCGGGUUGUAAAGUACUUUCAGCGAGGAGGCGUUACUCGCAGAAGAAGCACCGGCUAACUCCGUGCCAGCAGCCGCGGUAAUAC
rnacentral:rRNA from 1 species